rnacentral:rRNA from 1 species
AAUCAACGCUGGCGGCGUGCCUAACACAUGCAAGUCGAACGGCAGCACGAGAGAGCUUGCUCUCUUGGUGGCGAGUGGCGGACGGGUGAGGAAUGCAUCGGAAUCUACCUAGUCGUGGGGGAUACCGUAGGGAAACUUACGUUAAUACCGCAUACGACCUUCGGGUGAAAGUGGGGGACCGCAAGGCCUCACGCGAUUAGAUGAGCCGAUGCCGGAUUAGCUAGUUGGUAGGGUAAUGGCCUACCAAGGCGACGAUCCGUAGCUGGUCUGAGGAUGAUCAGCCGCACUGGAACUGAGACACGGUCCAGACUCCUACGGGAGGCAGCAGUGGGGAAUAUUGGACAAUGGGCGAAAGCCUGAUCCAGCCAUGCCGCGUGAGUGAAGAAGGCCCUCGGGUUGUAAAGCUCUUUUGUUGGGAAAGAAAACUUAUCGGUUAAUACCCGGUGAGAAUGACGGUACCCAAAGAAUAAGCACCGGCUAACUUCGUGCCAGCCGCCGCAGUAACAC